rnacentral:rRNA from 1 species
GCGAACUUUCCAGAGAUGGAUUGGUGCCUUCGGGAACGCUGAGACAGGUGCUGCAUGGCUGUCGUCAGCUCGUGUUGUGAAAUGUUGGGUUAAGUCCCGNAACGAGCGCAACCCUUUAUCCUUUGUUGCCAGCGAUUCGGUCGGGAACUCAAAGGAGACUGCCGGUGAUAAACCGGAGGAAGGUGGGGAUGACGUCAAGUCAUCAUGGCCCUUACGAGUAGGGCUACACACGUGCUACAAUGGCGCAUACAAAGAGAAGCGACCUCGCGAGAGCAAGCGGACCUCAUAAAGUGCGUCGUAGUCCGGAUCGGAGUCUGCAACUCGACUCCGUGAAGUCGGAAUCGCUAGUAAUCGUGGAUCAGAAUGCCACGGUGAAUACGUUCCCGGGCCUUGUACACACCGCCCGUCACACCAUGGGAGUGGGUUGCAAAAGAAGUAGGUAGCUUAACCUUCGGGAGGGCGCUUACCACUUUGUGAUUCAUGACUGGGGUGAAGUCGUAACAAGGUAAGCGUAGCGAG